UAGUAUAUUAGCAGUUAAAUAUA
rnacentral:siRNA from 1 species